UCUGCCUGAAGUUACUUGAACAUGUAGGCAACAUAAAUUCAAGCAAAAAUCUCUGUGAUGUUCAGUUUAUGGUUACAAACUCUUACAGGAGAAUGUUCUUUUUCCCCCUCAUCUAGUCCCAAAUUUAAAAAGUCUUUUAUCUACCACCUAAUCAUUCGUGUGGAGUUUUCAGCAGUGAAUCAUUUCCACUGUGAUAUCUGUUUUUGGGAGACGUACAUUUGAAGAAAUGAACUCCUUUUCAGAAAUGAAGCUCCAAUUUCACCCACUUCUAAUGUUUCAAGUAACUCCUAAAGCCUAGUAUUGGGCCUCUGUGUACAAAGCUGUAAAUUCAUGGAUCUGUUCCAAUUCCCAGAUUAUGAGACCUUGAAUUGGCU
rnacentral:lncRNA from 1 species